AGUAACGCGUGGGUAACCUGCCCUUUUGUGGGGAACAACUUUGAGAAAUCGGAGCUAAUACCGCAUAAUAAUAGAGGAUCGCAUGAUUCUUUAAGGAAAGAUGGCCUCUGAAGAUGCUAUCGCAAAAGGAUGGACCCGCGUCUGAUUAGCUAGUUGGAAGGGUAACGGCCUACCAAGGCAACGAUCAGUAGCCGGCCUGAGAGGGUGAACGGCCACAUUGGGACUGAGACACGGCCCAAACUCCUACGGAAGGCAGCAG
rnacentral:rRNA from 1 species